ACACCGGCAGCUCUAGUGGUAGCAGUUUUUAUUGGGCCUAAAGCGUCCGUAGCCGGUUUAAUAAGUCUCUGGUGAAAUCCUGCAGCUUAACUGUGGGAAUUGCUGGAGAUACUAUUAGACUUGAGAUCGGGAGAGGUUAGAGGUACUCCCAGGGUAGAGGUGAAAUUCUGUAAUCCUGGGAGGACCGCCUGUUGCGAAGGCGUCUGACUGGAACGAUUCUGACGGUGAGGGACGAAAGCUAGGGGCGC
rnacentral:rRNA from 1 species